UAAACAGCCGUGGGGGUUCCUUCCAGCUCAGGAUAUUCUAUGAUUCUGUGACCCGCGGGACAGAAGGAAACCGAGCGAUGCAGUGAGCGCGGCCGGAGCGCUAAGGCAGGAGCCACCGCGGCAGGACGCUGUCCAGGGUGCUGAACCCGCCCGGCUCCACCUCGGGGCUGCCCCGGCUGCUCAGCGAAGACGCUCCUGUUUCCCAGCAGUAAAUCAAUACGAUCUUCCCCUUUCCCAGCAGAACUGCAAGGUCCCAAAGGGGAGGAAGUCAUCCUACUACAGUAUAAGCCCAGAAUCGGAAGAUGCAGAAAUUACUCACGCCAUUCAGAUUCUGCCUCCCUUUUCUCUAGCUGCAGUUUCUGUCUUUUCCAGUUCUGGGCUCAUUUUAUUUACAGCCUUUCUACCUUCCCCUUUUCUGGCCCACAGCCAUUUGUCUUGGCAUCAGAGAGAAAGAGAGGAAGUGAGGCCUGCGUAGUAUGAAGACAGCCUUCCCUGUGGUGGUGUGUUCUCCCCCAAGGCCUACACCAUUGUCGCAACACUGUUGGUGUGAGGAGAAGAGGCUUGCCUGAGUUGAGGCUGCAGGGAAGCUUCCACUCUGGCACACAUGAAGUCUGCUGUUGCUUGGCAGCACAGGGAGCUCCCUUAGGUCUGCUGAGAGGGGGGAGCUAGGAAGCUGGACAAUGUUCCCAGGAGAGAGGAGACAAUAGAAAGAGCAUUUCCACUGCAUAGUGGCGAGAAGGUCUUCUGGAAAUCUCUGCCUUUUCUGUUGUGGCACAAAGCAUGUGACUGGGAUGUUUAAUACAUUUAACUACUGAAUUAUAGUUGUCAUGGCCUGGUCAGGAUCUAUGGAGAUAUCACAGGCUUGGCAAUUAGUAUUACAUGGCCCUGCCUCACUCCUUGGCAAAGAAAAAGAAAGACUCAGUGAGGGUUCAAGCUCUUCCUCUGUCUUGAUAUCAACAGCAAGACAUCUGCUUAACACCAGUGGCCUCUGCCUCCAGCUCUCAGCCAUUCUGCGGGGAUGGGCUCAGGGCAGUAAGCUGGAGUGAGUCCCUUAACCCCUCUGGCUAAGCCCAGAGCCAUUUUAACAAGGGCACAGUGUAACCCUUUGGGAGGUAUGGUCUCACUCUGUUUCUCUUAGGGGAGGAGGGUCAUGAUCAACUAGCACCUAAUUAAUGAUAGCCAGUUUCUUCAACAUGAAUAGCAAUAGUGAAUAGUGUUGGUACAAACAGGCAUCUUCCUCUCCUUUCUCCUUGACUAAUGAUUGCAGGCUAAUGUUUGGCUGCAUAAGGCAGGACUACAUAAACGAGAGCCAGAACUUCUUUGAAAAGAGGCUUAAAGAUGAGGAACUUCAAAAGUUGGGAUACAAAGAUUCAUUCCCUUUCUUUUCCUAAAAUGAGUUUGAGCAUGCAUUUUUCAUGUUCUUAUGGGAACGCAAUUCCCUCGGACAUCAGAGAAACUUGAGCUAUAUUUCCACCUCUGUGACUGCACACCCAGUUCCCACUGCUGCAUCACUUCUACAGGUUAGUUCUACUUCACUAGGACAGAGAGAAGGCAAAAUGUGUACACCUCGUCAACCUAUUUGUGAGUCCCGAGUCUGGGUCUUGGUUAUGUGCUGGAAAAUGCAUCACAGAAAAUUGACCGUUUACACAUGAACUCUGUAUUUCAUAAAAUCACCACCUUAUCCCACAUAGCUGCACCUCUUUGUAACACACAAGGUAAAUAUUAAAUCACAACUCCAUUUCAAUAUUGAUAUUAUCUAUUACGAUAUAAGGCAUUAUAAAUAAACACAUCCCUAUUAGACUCUCAUGAACAAUUGUGGAAAUGAAGGAGCCUGCAAUUAUUAUCACAAAUCUGAACUGUAACUUUUAAAAAAUUUGUUACCAUUGAAAAUGUUGAGAUCAUGAUAUAAUAAAGGCAAUAUAGAAUGUGCAUCCAUGUUUUAGUAACAUUAUUAUAUUUCAGCAUUCUGUCAACCAGACUUAAAUGCCAUAUAAUGACGUAAUGUCAAAAGCUUUUAUUUGUUGGUUUGCUUUACUUUCAGGUUCUAGGAUAGACUGUGGGCCCCACUCCUCAACUUUCUCUCCUUGCCCUCGGAGAGCUUUUGCAUAUUUUCACGUGAACAAACAGUUGACUUUUGAGGAAAACUCUUCCAUCAGGACAACGUUGUGCUGCUACAUGUCCCACUGACAUUAGGGAAUAAGUGCCAAAGAUCUGACAAAACAUUAGCUUCUACAUGUAAAACCUAUGAAUUUUCAGAUGAUGGAAGUUGCUCAAGUAACUCUCAUAUCAAACUUCCAGAAGGUGUCACUGUGCACCUAUGCUUUGAAUGGAGAACCUCAUCAGUUGAGGAUUAAUAAUGUUACGUGCCAAGCGCUAUUCCUACUGGGGGUCUUUUUUUUUCUCUGCUCACAGUGGAAAGCAACCAAACUAGAUUUGGGAACAAAAAAUGUUUUCCUCUCUUCAUGAUUAGUAAAGGAAAAAAAAGGUAUCAACGUCACUCAAGAGAUUCAUAUCCAGCCAUGACCUUCAGAAAUAUUCCCAGUAUUCUGUGUCAUAAGUAAGCUAAUUGUUAUGCAGACUCCUUUCUAUUGAAAAAUACUAAAUAUAGUUAAAUUAUAGAAGAAUCCAAAAGUGACAUGACUGCAAUUUUAAGGUCUGCUGUAGGAAUGCAAGAAAAACUGUUCAGAGCAGAAGCUGUGGAGCAAGAUAAACAGCAUGAGAACCAAGGACACCUCUAGAAGAAGAAAACAUCUUACGGCUCUGAUUGGAUAAGCACCUGUGUGAACGGUUGAAGAUUGUUUUGUAGAAUGCUCUGUUGGCAUGUAAAGGUGGAUGGGAAAGUUGUAGGGGUGGAUGGGAAAGCUAGAAAAAGAAAACUUGUGAAGGUAUAUAAGUGAUGUGAGAACUUGUAAUAAACGAUUUGGAUCAUUCACAUCUGAGUCCGAUCAUUAGAUGCUGCAGUCUGGAAAACUACAAAAGUACUUUGUAAUUAUAUUCCAGAGCUGAUCCAGAAAGGAAGAUUGAUAGAUUAAUUUAGAACCAGUACUCCUGAACAGCUUGGUUUUUCAGAGCAGUAUCAAAGUGCGUUUAGAGACCUGGUUGCACAGUGUGACUGCACUGUAAUACUGCGCCUUGGCAACAUUCCUAAGGAAGACCCCGGGACUUGUGCUACUGAUUUGUAAUCAAAUUUUGGGCCAAAGAAAAUCUGGAGGAAUUUGGAGAAUGAUGUAGAAUGAUUAAAAGACCAAUGGGAGAAAACAUCAUUCACUUGCCAGAGGGAAGAAUGUGAAAAGACACGAUGGCUAAAAUAAACCGUAAUUCCUUUAAUGAAGAAGAAAGAAAGAAAAAAAAAAAAAAAAAAGAGGGCAAUAAGAAACUGCAAAAGAAUGCUGAACUACCUGCCGUUUGAAGAAGCUGCUUCCAAGAUUUUCCAGAGAGAAAGAGCUGGUGUUUUUCCUCUGUAUCCUUCAGCUAAACUGUUGAUCCCAGCUGGUAGAAGGAGAUCCUGAGUAUAUUUUUAAGUUACCUAUAAAUUGAAUUGACUGAUUAACGUUCAGCUAAGCAGGCAAGAUAUUAGUCAGUGUAGUAUUUUAUCCCACUUAAAGAAGGUUGUCAUGUGUUAAUGAAAACAAACUCUGUAAUUCAGGCCAGUCUAGGAUUGCUUUGCUGACAACAUUCUAGAAGUACUGCAAUAGUUUAGCUUUCGUGCUCACUGAAUUCUUCCUCUGACAGUAAUAUCCAACCUGCUCAGGCUUUGGCAUUUUGCAUGUUGAAGGUGCAUAGCUAAAAAAGGAAUUUUAGUGUUAUUUCACAGGUAAAAUAUGUAAAUCACUAAACUAGAAAAACACAUCAUUGCUAAUUAAUACAAAUUAUCUCUGAGGGCUAGAAAAUUUGCACAUCAUUAAUAUGCAAGCAGUACAUCCAUUAAUGUGUAAUACAUCAUUAUUUUGACAACUUUUACAAAAGAAUGCCCUCUGAUUUUUGUCAGCACAGCUAUUGCUGGCUCACAGAGAGCACUGAACAAUAAACAUCUAUUCUCUGAGCAGUGUUUAUCGAUGCCAAAGAAAAAUCUUUGAUAAAGUAAAAAACAGUGAUUACGCCAAAUAGAUUCAGUAAUUACAGAACAGUUUAAAAGGACCGUGUGAGGAGCUCUUUGUUUCACAAGCUGAGUGUUAUAUGCUGAGUGUUCCAGAGUACACUGUUUACAGCAGAGCUCCUACAAGGACCUAUAGGUCUGAGCCAGGCUUCCUCCCUGUACGCAGGCAUAUCCAAACAUGCCAUCCAGAAAACUCCAAAGCACUGAGCAAGGAGCUGCUCCCUGGGGACAGAGGGAACUCCCAAACAGAGGAACAAGUGUUUGUGGUGCAUCUUUUUUUUCACUGUGAAUUUCACUUUGAGUUCUGAUCUCCCAGGCUGGUGGCGUGGCUGCAGGAGAUGGCCUACAUCAGCCUCUGCUUCCAGAAGGGCCCCAUCAGAUUUGGAUGUGGCUAAACGUGGAGGAGAGGGGGAUGACCUUUCACUCUGGCUGCCCUGGAAUUUCCUAUGGAUUUUGGUUCAGGCUCAACGAGUACCUAUUAAGAAGGAAAAGUGAAUCUCACAUCUCUACUUGGUAAAGUCGUGUCAGAGAAAGGUUUUCAAGUGGGGCUGCCCGUAAUUUGGGCAACAGCAGUAAGUAGUGGGCUAUCAAAUGAGAAAGCACUCCUCUGUCCUG